rnacentral:rRNA from 1 species
GACGAACGCUGGCGGCGUGCUUAACACAUGCAAGUCGAGCGGGAAGGCCCUGCUGUUGUGGGGUGCUCGAGGGGCGAACGGGUGAGUAACACGUGAGUAACCUGCCAUUUACUUUGGGAUAACUUCAGGAAACUGGGGCUAAUAACGGAUAGUAGCUCCUGCUGCAUGGUUGGGUUUGGGAAGUUGAGGCGGAUGGGGAUUGGCUCGUCGCUUAGCAGGUUGUUGGGGGGGUAGCCGCUUACCAAGGCUUUGGCGGGUAGCCGUCCUGAGAGGGUGACCGGCCAACGUGCGAGUGAGAUACGGCACGGACUCGUACGGAAGGCUGGAGAGGGGAAUAUUGAAUGAUGGGCGGAAGCCGGGUGCAGGAACGAGGCGUGCGGGAUGACGGCCUUCUGGUUGUAAGCCACAAUCGCCUGUGAGGAAGGGUGGAUGACGGUAAUGGGUAAAGAAGCACCGGCUAACUACGUG